UAUGUAGAUCACCGUCAAUUGGACGUAGUUACGCAGAAAGGACUCAACCCACACAAACCUAGUUCUGAGAUAUAGACGUUUUAAGUUCUAAUCGGUAUUCUUCAGCAAUGAAAAGCAUCUUAUAUGU